rnacentral:rRNA from 1 species
UACGUAGGGUGCGAGCGUUAAUCGGAAUUACUGGGCGUAAAGCGUGCGCAGGCGGUUUUGUAAGCCGGAUGUGAAAUCCCCGGGCUUAACCUGGGAAUGGCAUUCGGGACUGCAAGGCUGGAGUGCGGCAGAGGAGACUGGAAUUCCUGGUGUAGCAGUAAAAUGCGUAGAUAUCAGGAGGAACACCGAUGGCGAAGGCAGGUCUCUGGGCUGACACUGACGCUCAUGCACGAAAGCGUGGGGAGCAAACAGG